AUUGAACGCUGGCGGAAUGCUUUACACAUGCAAGUCGGGCGGCAGCGCGGGGGCAACCCUGGCGGCGAGCGGCGAACGGGUGAGUAAUACAUCGGAACGUGUCCUUGAGUGGGGGAUAGCUCGGCGAAAGCCGGAUUAAUACCGCAUAAGCUCUGAGGAGGAAAGCGGGGGACUGGUAACGGCCUCGCGCUGUUGGAGCGGCCGAUGUCGGAUUAGCUAGUUGGUGGAGAAAGGCCCACCAAGGCGACGAUCCGUAGCUGGUCUGAGAGGAUGAUCAGCCACACUGGAACUGAGACACGGUCCAGACUCCUACGGGAGGCAGCAGUGGGGAAUUUGGACAAUGGGGGCAACCCUGAUCCAGCCAUUCCGCGUGAGUGAAGAAGGCC
rnacentral:rRNA from 1 species